UACGAAGGGGGCUAGCGUUGCUCGGAAUCACUGGGCGUAAAGGGUGCGUAGGCGGGUCUUUUAAGUCAGGGGUGAAAUCCUGGAGCUCAACUCCAGAACUGCCUUUGAUACUGAGGAUCUUGAGUUCGGGAGAGGUGAGUGGAACUGCGAGUGUAGAGGUGAAAUUCGUAGAUAUUCGCAAGAACACCAGUGGCGAAGGCGGCUCACUGGCCCGAUACUGACGCUGAGCACGAAAGCGUGGG
rnacentral:rRNA from 1 species